rnacentral:rRNA from 1 species
UACGGAGGGUGCGAGCGUUAAUCGGAAUUACUGGGCGUAAAGCGCGUGUAGGCGGGUUGGUAAGUCGGGUGUGAAAGCCCCGGGCUUAACCUGGGAAUUGCAUUCGAUACUGUCUGACUCGAGUCUGGGAGAGGGAAGCGGAAUUCCGGGUGUAGCGGUGAAAUGCGUAGAUAUCCGGAGGAACACCUAUGGCGAAGGCAGCUCGCUGGGACGUUACUGACGCUGAGACGCGAAAGCGUGGGGAGCAAACAGG